CCUCUUGAGAAAUUCAGCAGCCGCACCACCCUAUACCUUCCUCUCCGCCAUCUCUUUCCUCCCCCGCCUAACGUCGCUGCUCCAGCCAAAGAGCUCCGGUCAGCAGCCAUGAAGAGCGGAUCAGGCGACCCCUUUCUCCCUCUCGUCUCUCUAUUUUCUCUGGCGAAGCCUACUCGCCCUUCCUCUUCUCUAUUUCCGGCGACAAUAGCAGCGUCCAGCGAGGCAACAGCUCCAAAUAGCCACUCCGACCUGUGAGGAGACGGCGAACCAGCAGCAGCGACCUCCGGCCAACGUGCUUUGAAUAAAAAAGAGAUUACAAGCCAUCAUCUGCCAGUCGCUUCGCUCUUAUCCUUCACUUCGGCGAGACAGAGCAUCCACAGCGAAGCUCCAGCACUGGUGAAGCCCCGACCAACGGCUACAACGACAACAACAACAACAUGGUGAUUUCGCUGCUCCGACCGUAAACGAAAAGCAAAGCAAUUGAUAAGGCAGAUCUUUACAGAUCCGUCCCAGGGUUUUGAACUUCAGGUUCAAGAUGUCGAAGAGUUCGCCUGGGGACGGGAUUCCGGAAAGAUUUAGUUUUGUUUAGAUUUUUCUGUAUUAUUUUAUUUGCUUUGUUUCGGUUUUUGUAAUAAUUUUGUAAACUCCAACUGCUCCAUAUAUAUUGAAUGAAAUAACUUGGGGAACCGUCUAAGGGGAGGGGAUAUACGUGCUAUAACUGUUUUUAUCUUAUUAUAUGUGAAUGUUAUAGAUAAUCUACCUAUAUUGUUAAAUCACAUAAAAUUAGGCAAGCAUAUCUAUUUAAUAAUUGGCCUAGAAUUUAUAACUUUGUUUCAA